GGUGGUUUGUCGCGUCGUCUGUGAAAUUCCGGGGCUUAACUCCGGGCGUGCAGGCGAUACGGGCAUAACUUGAGUACUGUAGGGGUAACUGGAAUUCCUGGUGUAGCGGUGAAAUGCGCAGAUAUCAGGAGGAACACCGAUGGCGAAGGCAGGUUACUGGGCAGUUACUGACGCUGAGGAGCGAAAGCAUGGGUAGCGAACAGGAUUAGAUACCCUGGUAGUCCAUGCCGUAAACGGUGGGCGCUAGGUGUGAGGGUCUUUUCACGACUUUCGUGCCGUAGCUAACGCAUUAAGCGCCCCGCCUGGGGAGUACGGCCGCAAGGCUAAAACUCAAAGGAAUUGACGGGGGCCCGCACAAGCGGCGGAGCAUGUGGAUUAAUUCGAUGCAACGCGAAGAACCUUACCUGGGCUUGACAUACACUGGAUCGGGCUAGAGAUAGUCUUUCCCUUUGUGGCUGGUGUACAGGUGGUGCAUGGUUGUCGUCAGCUCGUGUCGUGAGAUGUUGGGUUAAGUCCCGCAACGAGCGCAACCCUUGUCUUAUGUUGCCAGCAUUUGGUUGGGGACUCAUGAGAGACUGCCGGGGUCAACUCGGAGGAAGGUGGGGAUGACGUCAAAUCAUCAUGCCCCUUAUGUCCAGGGCUUCACACAUGCUACAAUGGUCGGUACAACGCGCAGCGACACUGUGAGGUGGAGCGAAUCGCUGAAAGCCGGCCUUAGUUCGGAUUGGGGUCUGCAACUCGACCCCAUGAAGUCGGAGUCGCUAGUAAUCGCAG
rnacentral:rRNA from 1 species